GAGCCAACUCUUUAUAAGCUUGCUUUUGAAGAGUUAGCGGCGGACGGGUGAGUAACACGUGGGCAACCUGCCUAUAAGACUGGGAUAACUUCGGGAAACCGGAGCUAAUACCAGAUAAUUCUUUUCUACUCAUGUAGAAAAGCUGAAAGACGGUUUACGCUGUUACUUAUAGAUGGGCCCGCGGCGCAUUAGCUAGUUGGUGAGGUAACGGCUCACCAAGGCCACGAUGCGUAGCCGACCUGAGAGGGUGAUCGGCCACACUGGGACUGAGACACGGCCCAGACUCCUACGGGAGGCAGCAGUAGGGAAUCUUCCGCAAUGGACGAAAGUCUGACGGAGCAACGCCGCGUGAGUGAUGAGGGUUUUCGGAUCGUAAAACUCUGUUGUUAGGGAAGAACAAGUACGAGAGUAACUGCUCGUACCUUGACGGUACCUAACCAGAAAGCCACGGCUAACUACGUGCCAGCAGCCGCGGUAAU
rnacentral:rRNA from 1 species